rnacentral:rRNA from 1 species
UACGUAGGGUGCAGGCAUUAAUCGGAAUUACUGGGCGUAAAGCGUGCGCAGGCGGUCUUUUAAGUCAGAUGUGAAAUCCCCGGGCUUAACCUGGGAACUGCGUUUGAAACUGGAAGGCUAGAGUGUGGCAGAGGGGGGUGGAAUUCCGCGCGUAGCAGUGAAAUGCGUAGAUAUGCGGAGGAACACCGAUGGCGAAGGCAAUCCCCUGGGCCUGCACUGACGCUCAUGCACGAAAGCGUGGGGAGCAAACAGG